AGGUAGAAGAAAAUAAGCAGUAAAAUAACGGAUUCAUAUGUGAAAAAUAUAAAGAAAAAAUAAAAAUCAUCUACCCUACCUCUAGCGAGGGUGGUUGUAAACAUAGUAGUAGUAGUAAUAGUAGUAGUGGUAGUAGAAGUAUUAAUGGGUAGUAGAAGUAUUAAUGGGUAUGAUAAUAAUAAUAAUAUUAUUUGAUAAUAUAGUGCCCCUUGCAGCUCUCACCUCCCGUGGAGGGGCACAGGGAGGUGUUGCUCUCUCACCUCCCGUGGGCAGCUCCGUCACCUAUUGUGUGCUUGUUAGGCACACGUGGCGAUGGAGAGGAUGCCCUUGAAGUUUCUUGAAGUUUCUUGGAGAGGAUGGAUGCCCUUGAAGUUUCUUGUGAGUUCUGAGUGGGGUUUGAACCCCGGCGUCCCUCACUCAAAACUCCAAAGUCCAUCACUCUACCCACUGGGCCACGAGGGCCCAUAAUAGUAGGUGUAAAGUUGGGUAUUUCCCCGUAUUGUUUUCACGUCACUAAAUAUCACUGUAGCUUAAUGAUACUUUUUGUGUAGAUGCGUACUGUCGUGAAACGUGUUCAUGAGGAGUUACAACCAGAUUUAUGAGGCAAAGUCCACCCUUGCUUUCAUGGCUCUCUUGUGUUGCGCAAGAGAACCAAAUGUUGUGGUGCGCGGACUCCUUGUCUUUUGGCUUUUGUUACCUGGACAUCACAGUACAUACAUGUGUACUUAGUGAAGUAUAAACAUUCUCUCUCUCUCUCUCUCUCUCUCUCUCUCUCUCUCUCUCUCUCUCUCUCUCUCUCUCUCUCUCUCUCUCUCUCUCUCUCAUACAAUUAUGUGCAUAAUUGUAAAAACCGUAACUUGCUCAGUAGGAUGAAAGAAAGGAAAGAAAAACGUUGAAGAAAAAUAUGCAUAUAUCAUGUGUGAAAGAAAAAAACUUGAUCAUGAAAAAAAAUAAAGAAAAAAAUAAUAAGAACACAAAUUUAAAAAAAAUGAAAAACGUAACUUAGAGUUUAAGAAAAAAAAGAAAAAAGAAAAAAUCAAAGAAAAAGUAAAAUAUGUGCUGUAAUAAUAUUAUCGAUGUUUGUGUGGAAAGCGUAACUUGAUCAAGAGGAUAAAAAAAUAAUAGGAAAAAAGGAGUAGGUAGUAAAAUUAUGUAAGGAAAACAAAAACCUGAAAAUUACAAAAAAAGAAAAGAAUUAAGUAAAAAAAAAUAAAAGAUAUGCAGUAAAAUGAAGGAUGCCUGUGUGAAAAAGAAAGACAGCGUGAAGAAGAGGAUGAAUUGUGUGUUUUUCUGCAAGAAUCUGAGCCUUGCUCGUCACGCAGGAAGAACAUUUUCUCUGAAAUAAAUGAAAAAAAAAAAACACGAAAAAAAGAAAAUAAUGUAUUAAAAUUUUACAUGUGUGUGUGAAAAACGUUCCCCAAAAAGAAUUAAAACAGGAAAAGAAAAACCAACAAAAUAUAAACCAAAAUAAUGGAUGCAUUUGUGAAAAAAUAAAGGAAAUAAAUAUGCAAUGUGGAUGUUUGUGUGAACAGCGGGAUUUGUCCCACAGGGAAAAACAAAGAAAAGAAAAUGUGAAAAAUGUGAAAAAUAUAUCUUUCAAGAGAAUGCAAAAAUAAAAACGUGAAAAUGUGAAUAAAAGUAAAAAAUAAAGAAAAAAAAAACAAGAUAUUGUAAUACAAUUAUGUAUAUGUGUGAAAACCGUAACGUAAAAAAAAUAAAACAGAGAAAAAAGGAAAUAAAAAAAAUAGUAAGAUUAUGUAUAUCAAUGGGAAAAACGUAACUUGAAAAGGACAAAAAAGAAAAAGGAAAAAAAAAUGUAGUAAAAUUAUUGAAGCAUGUGUGAAAAAGUUAAUUUGAUGAAGAGGAUAAAUUAACUUUUUUUCCUACAUAAACUUGAGCCUUGCUUUUCAUGCGGCAAGGAAAACAAAGUAAAACAAUGGACGUGUUUGUAAAAAAUGCAAAGAAAAAGAAAAAAAAUGUAACAAUUAUGGAUGGAUUCAUCCAAGAGAAUGAAAUUACACGAAGGAAAACGAAAAUACGAAGAAAUGUCAAAAAGAUAUGUGAAGAAAAUCAUUAAAUAAAAAAACGCUAAAAAGAAUAUAUUUUCCUGAAUAUAUGUAUAUAGUGUGUGUAAAAAAAAGAAACGAAGAAUAAAGAAAAAAAAAUGAAAUAAAAAACAUCUCUCCCGGCUCUAACUUGGUGUACUCUUCAGGAAUAACAUAGCCAGUGCGAGUCAGGGGAAUUGGAGGAGCUUGUUGAGCGUCCUGUCGUCACUGCCGCACGUAGCGGCUCGUAGUAGAUGUGGACGGCACAUGAGCCAGUGAAUGUUCAUCCACUUUUGACAAAACGUUAGCCACCAAAGCACGAGAAGAUUCUUGAGUAGAAGUAGCAUCAGCUUUCAGCUCGACCAUGGCCUCCCUCGCCUUCACAGCCGCAGCAGUCGUGGAAUGAUUGUGCUCGUUCACAGUUUUCACGAUAGUGAAGGUUUCAUCCCCUACUGUUGUGUGAACACGAGCCUUGCAUGCAGUAGCCUCACAUCGCCAGUAUUGCUUGGUUCCAUCGGCGUUUUUCUUCUGUGCAGCGUAGAUGAAGUUAAGAUCGUCAACAAGCUUUUCCCUGCCACGGCUUGAUAGGAUUGUGUGCGGCAUGUUGCUCUGACUGUGGUGGCCCACGUACUGAAAAGUGAAAAUAGAAAACCGAACCAGUGAACGGUAGUCAAGCUAACAACCUGAUGUAUCAAAUCAUGAUUCGAACAACACACUCACACAACAUCACACACACACACACACACACACAUUGAUGGUCGGAUCUUGUCGUAGUAAUGGAAUUUCGUAACUAACGCGACAAAAAUACAGCCAAGGGAACGAAUCACCCUAGGGGACAAAUAACCCUAGGGUUCCAAUCCUCCAGGGAUGAAUACCCCGGGGAUGAAUCAACCGGGACAUUUCACCCGGGGACGAAUCACCCUAGAACCAGUAGUAGUAGUAGUAGUAGUAGUAGUGAUGGUGGUGGUGAUGGUAAUAUUGAUAAUAGUAGUAGCAGUAAUAGUAGUAGUAGUAGUGAUGGUGGUGGUGGUGGUGGUAGUAAUAUUGAUAAUAAUAGUAGUGUAGUAGUAGUAAUAGUAGUAGUAGUAGUAGUAGUAGUAGUAAUGGUGGUGAUGAUGGUGUUAGUAAUAUCGGUAGUAGUAGUAGUAGUAGUAGUAGUAGUAGCAGUAAUAGUAGUAGUAGUGGCAGCAGCAGCAGCAUAUGUUUGUUAAUGGAAUCGGCAGCGAUAAGGUCAUCUCCCCCAUCCUAACAAAAUAAUACAACGGUAAUCGGUAAUAAAUCAUCAAUGAAGUUUCACAUUACAAUAGCCUGUAACAUGGAAUCAUAAAUAUUCCUCAUAUCACAUCAUUAAGUCGUUAAUAAUAACAAAAACUUACUAUUGUAAUAUAUAAUUAUAUAUAACAAAAAUAAAACGAACAUCCCCCGUAACAUUUCAUAAACCACAAUACAAAAAUAACAAGCCUGAGUGCCCAGUUCUCUUGCAGUGCUUUUAUUUAUUUAUUUUUUUUUUCUGUAGUGUUAUUAAUCCCCAACCUAUGUUCGUGCGCCCCUAUGCACUGUUUUGUAACCAACCUUUCUUUAAUAAACUGUUAAACUGCGACUGAUGUACAGGCACAGUACAAGGUUUUCGGUACAGGUCAGAGUACGUUUCAGAAAAGAUGGGAUUGCUAUUUUUGCUAUUCGAACUUUCUUAGGUUUCGAGACGUGAGCUCGAGGCGAUGAAGGGUCGAGCCUGAGGGACUUCCCAUUUUUCAGUGUGUGUGUCGUGGUGGCGAGGAGCGGUGGUGUAGCUUCCUUUGGCUGCUGCUCCUCCUGCUCCUCCUUUCUUUUCCCCCUUUAGUCUUUUUUAACGCUUGUCCUCGUGUCCCUCUUCCUCCUCGUUGCCUUUCCAUCGUUAUCGUUAUCAUCAUCCUCGCCCUCUCCGCUGGCUUUGUGUUCCUCACCUUACAUCUGCAGAUGGGGCUCACCCUCCUCUUCCUUUUUCUGCUGAUUCAACGCUUCUCGAUUUUAGUUUUCUUUCUCCUCGUUCUCAUCUUUUAUCUUGUCCUCCACCACUCCUCUCCACACGAACAAGGACACACACACGCCACACUGUCACUGUCGAUCCGGUGUCAUUGCAACGUCUUGUUCAGGAAACCGGAACAAGGAGACAUGAAAGUUGGCAGUGCGUGUGGCUGUGAUGAGCGGCGGCGGCGGCGGCGCAGGCGGCGGCGGCGGCGACGACGACGACGACGACGACGACGACGUGUGGCGUGGCGAGCGGGUUUCUGCAGUAUCCCUCUCCUUCCCGUUUUCUGUUCUUCCCCUUCCUCUUCCUCCGCCUAGUGUACUGCUACUCGCUCUUGUACGGUGACUUUUUUUUUUCUUCGUUGCAAUAUUUUGUCGUCUGUUUUCUCUUUUCUUUUCUUCUCGUGCUUUUUAUUCACAUUAUUAUUUCUUAUUCUAUUUUGUUUAUUUUGUGUGUUUGUGCGUGUGUAUUUUCCUCUUCCACAUUUUAUUUGGAUUUUCUUAAUUUUUCUCGUAUUUUUCUAUUCUUCCUUGUAUCACACACACACACACACACGCCGCGUAGUGUAGUGGUUGUUAGCACGCUCGGCUCACAACCAAGAAGGCCUGGGUUCGAAUCCCGGGAGCGACGAGGCAAAUGGGCGAGCCUCUUAAUGUGUAGUCCCUGUUCACCUAGCAGCAAGUAGGUACGGGAUGUAACCCGAGGGGUUGUGACCUCGCUGUUUUAUUAUUAAAUAGUUUGCAUAUUUAUUUAUCUACAUAUAUUAUUUGCAUAUUUAUUUAUCUACAUAUAUUAUUUUUAUUUUAUUAUUAUUAUUAUUAUUUAUUUUAUUUUAUUUAUUUAUUUAUUUUGUGUGUGUGUGUGUCGGGGAUGAGUUUUACAGCUCUCAUCGCAAGUUGUAUUAAAAUUCAAUAGCCACAUUUGCUCGCUCGUGUAUAUAUUGUUUAGUGUUAUCAGCGGUUCUUAAGAAACAGGAUUUUAAGAGAUUAUAAACUUUACGUGAUAUUAAGUUUUGUUUGGUUAACACUUGAUGCGCUUCAUCCUUCUCUCGCUCCUUGUUCGUGUUUCAUUCUCUUUCCUCGUGUAAACUGCUGUCCUCAUUCGUUUGUUCCCUUCUUUUAUGCACUUCAACCAUCCAGCCACAAUUUCUCGGUUGCCUCUGCACUUGUGUUGUUGUCUUUUUCAUCUUGUAUUCUAAGGCAAUGGAACAGUCCGUUGAUUUCUGUUGCUAUUUUUAAAUUCUUGCACUAUAUACAUUUUUCAUAGAUUUUCCUGGAAACCAUGAUUUUAAGACCAAUUGGAAAGUGGGUGAGUGUUCGAAAGCACACACAAAAGUUCCUAAUUUCACCGUAAGUCACUGGAGGCAAACUUUAGAGAUUCAGUAAAUCUUUGUUAAUGUUGCUUUCUCCCCCUUUACAGAUUGCCUGUUCAUCUUUCCAUUCCUCAACGCUUUGUUAUUCUCGUCUUCCGCUUUUAUUCCUGCUUCACUUCUAGUUUCAAGAGACUCGGUUUGUGAGUCGUAUGCUUGCGUGCGUUGCAGUGGUGAGAAGAAAUGUGUGUGUGUGUGUGUGUGUGUGUGUGUGUGUGUGUGUGUGUGUGUUCUGGCUAGUGGACAGAAGACUUGUGUGUGGUGGGGUGGGGACAGUAUUUAGUGAAGGAAUGUGGUUGUGUGUGUGUGUGUGUGUGUGUGUGUGUGUGUGUGUUAGGAGGGUGGGAAGGGUGGUGGGUGACGGGGAGCGCGUCGUUGCAGUCUUAACAUUUUCUCUUGUUAUCCACGUCCUCUUUGUCAGCCUCCACCUUUUCUUGUCCCUGAGUUUUCUGCUUCCUUUUCUGCAUGAACUUACACAUAUCGUCGUCUCCUUUUACUUCUUCAUCCUUUUGCUUUUCAGUCGUGAUGGUCCUCGUCCAGCUCCUCGCCACCUCACCACACGCCACCACCUUCCCUGUUGAUGCUGCGUCAACUUUAUUGUUACCUGUCGAACUUCAUUGCAGUCCUCGCCGUUGCAUUCCCACAUGCGUCGCUGUCAUGGCACCCUGGCACCCUACAGCCACAACUGCUGCUGCUGUCUUUUAUCCUGUAACAGGCAGGAGUAAGUGGACCUGCUGGUGGACUACAGGCUGAACACAAGCACUGACAAGCAGUACAGGGCAUUUCAUGAUGGCUUCUGCAGCGUGUGGGACGGUAUUGUGCUCAAACUUUUCCAGCCAAUGGAACUUAUGGACUUGGUCACCGGCAAUGAAAAUUAUUUCUGGACUGAGUUGGAAAAGAAUGCUGAAUAUAAGAUUAAGUUAGUUAAGGGUGAGUACUUCCCAGACCAUCCAGUCACUCGCACGUGUUGGGAAGUCUUUCGCGAGCUCUCGCUGGAACAGAAAAUGUUUUCAAGUUUCUGACGGGGACUCACCAGGUUCUUCUACUAGGCCUGCACCACACCUGCCAGAGAAGGAUGUCCCAAGGCUGCCUCCCAAUGUCACCUUUUCCUGUCUCCGUUGCUUCAUCUUAGCAUACCCCACUUGCUCAUCCAACUGCUGCCUGCAAGGUGGAGAAUGUUUACACC